rnacentral:tRNA from 1 species
GCCCUUAUAGCUCAGCGGAUAGAGCAUCGGUCUACGAAGCCGUGUGUCGGGAGUUCAAAUCUCUCUGAGGGCAC